GAAGCCCCAACGCCGGCGCUAAAAUCAACGAAACGGUGAGCCCCAAAAUCGAAAGCCCUAGUUCGUUCGAUGAUUGAUUCGCAUCAUUCGAAUCCCUGGAUGAAUUGAAUCGAAAGAGGCGAGACUCGGGAUUGAGUUCUGGUUGCAAUUUAGGAAGCCGGAGGGAAGUUCCGGCCGUACUCCGAGAUGACUGGAGUUUGCGCUCGAUCACGAUGUGAAGACCAGAUUUGAGUGAAAACGCCGUUACCGCAAAUUAUUGCUUGUGCCUACUUCCCAAGCUCCUCCGCCCAAGUCCAGCCCCGCCUGCCGAACCCGCAUAUUCGAGCUGAGAAGAUUAAUGCACGAAAGACCGAUCAGCCAGGCUCGAACCUGCUCGAAAGACCCCC